rnacentral:rRNA from 1 species
UACAGAGGGUGCGAGCGUUGUUCGGAAUUAUUGGGCGUAAAGCGCUUGUAGGCGGCUUGUUAAGUCCUGUGUGAAAGCCCUAGGCUUAACCUAGGAGGUGCGCAGGAAACUGGCGAGCUUGAGUGCUGGAGAGGGUCGCGGAAUUCCCGGUGUAGAGGUGAAAUUCGUAGAUAUCGGGAGGAACACCAGUGGCGAAGGCGGCGACCUGGACAGACACUGACGCUGAGACGCGAAAGCGUGGGGAGCAAACAGG